rnacentral:rRNA from 1 species
AUUAGAUACCCUGGGUAGUCCACGCAGUAAACGAUGAAUACUAAUUGUCCGGGCAGAGAGAUGCCUGGGUGAUACAGCGAAAGCGUUAAGUAUUCCACCUGGGGAGUACGCCGGCAACGGUGAAACUCAAAGGAAUUGACGGGGGCCCGCACAAGCGGAGGAACAUGUGGUUUAAUUCGAUGAUACGCGAGGAACCUUACCCGGGCUCAAACGACACAGGAAUACUUUUGAAAGGAGGUAGCCAGCAAUGGUCUGUGUCGAGGUGCUGCAUGGUUGUCGUCAGCUCGUGCCGUGAGGUGUCGGCUUAAGUGCCAUAACGAGCGCAACCCCUACCGCCAGUUGCCAGCAGGUAAAGCUGGGGACUCUGGCGGGACUGCCGGCGCAAGCUGCGAGGAAGGCGGGGAUGACGUCAAAUCAGCACGGCCCUUACGUCCGGGGCGACACACGUGUUACAAUGGGUGGCACAGCGGGAAGCCAGGCGGCGACGCCGAGCGGAACCCGAAACCCACUCUCAGUUCGGAUCGGAGUCUGCAACCCGACUCCGUGAAGCUGGAUUCGCUAGUAAUCGCGCAUCAGCCAUGGCGCGGUGAAUACGUUCCCGGGCCUUGUACACACCGCCCGUCAAGCCAUGGGAGUCGAGGGCGCUUGAAGUACGGAGAACCCGUCCUAGAGCGAAAUCGGUGACUGGGCUAAGUCGUAACAAGGUACC